rnacentral:lncRNA from 1 species
CCAAGGAGACUGUGUCAAAUGUGAUAUUAUAUACCUGGCCUUAAAAGUAUCAGUGAGAGUAUCAUAGCUGAGCUCAGCAUCAUAGCAUGACAACAUGAACCCUACAUGCCCAUUCUGCUCUUACACCAAAAGGUCACUACUACUUUAAUAAUUAAAUCUAGAAAAAAGCUUUGAAUCGAGUAACUAUGUUUGUGAACUGAUUUUUUACCUCGCGGUUGUAAACUUGAGCAGGGAACCAAAAACGACCAGUUUCAAGGGAGAGGUAGAAGCUCAUGGUGGAAUCAAGUGGCAGAGAAGACGCAGCAUAUCUCUUCCUCUUAUUAUCAUCAUCAUCAUCAUUUCGGAAAACAGAUCGGAUCAAAGAGAUGAUUUUGUCAAAA